GUCCAGCUGACGAAUCCCAAAUAGGACGAAACGCGAGUCCUGGAU
rnacentral:hammerhead_ribozyme from 1 species